rnacentral:tRNA from 1 species
UCCGAAGACCGGAGGUUAGACCCCUCCCUAGUGCUG